rnacentral:rRNA from 1 species
UACGUAGGCAGCAAGCGUUGUUCGGAGUUACUGGGCGUAAAGGGUGCGUAGGCGGCUUUUUAAGUUUGGUGUGAAAUCUCCCGGCUUAACUGGGAGGGUGCAUUAGAAACUGGAAUGCUAGAGGAUGGAGAGGUAAGCGGAAGUUCCUGGUGUAGCGGUGAAAUGCUGUAGAUAUCAGGAGGAACACCUGUGGUGAGUAGACAGCUUACGUGGACCAUUUUCUGACCGCUGAGACACGAAAGCGUGGGGUAGCAAACAGG